rnacentral:rRNA from 1 species
UGGGGAAUUUUGGACAAUGGGCGAAAGCCUGAUCCAGCAAUGCCGCGUGUGUGAAGAAGGCCUUCGGGUUGUAAAGCACUUUUGUCCGGAAAGAAAUCCUCUGGGUUAAUACCUCGGGGGGAUGACGGUACCGGAAGAAUAAGCACCGGCUAACUACGUGCCAGCAGCCGCGGUAAUACGUAGGGUGCAAGCGUUAAUCGGAAUUACUGGGCGUAAAGCGUGCGCAGGCGGUUUUGUAAGACGGAUGUGAAAUCCCCGGGCUUAACCUGGGAACUGCAUUCGUGACUGCAAGGCUAGAGUAUGGCAGAGGGGGGUAGAAUUCCACGUGUAGCAGUGAAAUGCGUAGAGAUGUGGAGGAAUACCGAUGGCGAAGGCAGCCCCCUGGGCCAAUACUGACGCUCAUGCACGAAAGCGUGGGGAGCAAACAGGAUUAGAUACCCUGGUAGUCCACGCCCUAAAACGAUGUCAACUAGUUGUUGGGGAUUCAUUUCCUUAGUAACGUAGCUAACGCGUGAAGUUGACCGCCUGGGGGAGUACGGUCGCAAGAUUAAAACUCAAAUGAAUUGACGGGGUCAUAGCUGUUUCCU